rnacentral:rRNA from 1 species
CAAUAGCGUAUAUUAAAGUUGUUGCAGUUAAAAAGCUCGUAGUUGGAUUUCUGGUUGAAGCGACCGGUCGGGCGUUGAUUCGUCUGCACUGGAGUCGGUUUUGGCCAUCCUCUAGGAAAGUGCGUCUGGUAUUAAGUUAUCGGGCGUAUGAUCCUGGUCUUUUACUGUGAAAAAAUUAGAGUGUUUAAAGCAGGCCUUCGCCUUGAAUACAUUAGCAUGGAAUAAUAAGAUAGGACUUUGGUCUAUUUUGUUGGUUUGCAGACCGAAGUAAUGAUUAAUAGGGAUAGUUGGGGGUAUUUAUAUUCCGAUGUCAGAGGUGAAAUUCUUAGAUUUUCGGAAGACAAACUUAUGCGAAAGCAUUUACCAAGGAUGUUUNCAUUA